ACACCCAAUUGACAACGGCGCCA
rnacentral:siRNA from 1 species